rnacentral:snRNA from 1 species
UUAUGGGCAACCAUUUAAUAUAAGUUCACACAUGUUCAUAAAAUAAUUAGCGUGGCCCUUGCGCAAGGAUGACAUGCACAAAUCGAGAAAUGAUCCAAAUUUUU